GGCUGCCGCAGGUUUGCAGCAGACGAUCGAUGCUCUGGACAAGAUUUGGCGGCGAAAGGCUGCCUACGAAGCUCACAUGGAUGUCAUCUAUGAAGCGGCGCAGAACCUCACGAAGGAUUUCAUGGUGGGAAACAAGCCUCUCGGCACAUAUAUAGCCGACAACUUGCCAAAAUGGGACAGCAUGAAGUCGGGGAGUGGUGAUUCUGCCAAGAAGGUGCUCCAGAUGGGCGAGAAGGCCAAGGCCGCCUUCAAGAGCGACCUCUCGCUCUUUUUCGACCACGUCAAAG